AAAGAAAAACAUGAAAUUGUCCUUACUUCAAGGACAAGAAGAUGAAGGAUGAAAGCUACUGUAACAAGAAAAUAAAAUCAAUAAGAAAAGACAAAAAAAUAAAGAAAGAAAAAAACAACCCAAACAUCUCCAAGCUGCUGUAACAAGAUGGAAGAACAAUGAAAAUUAAGAAAACAGAUCUUUUACAUAUGAGAGUACGAAGAUGGAAACGGACCUUUUUUAUAUGGAAAAGCUUCUUGAAUACAAAGGUCAAAGCGAAUAGAGAACACGCCGGAAACUCGACCUCGUUCGCAACCUCGAACUCGACUUAAAGCUUGUGUUUCGAGGAUUGUUCAGCUGGAAUUUUGGUAAUAUUUUGGUACUGUGUCGUGAUGGAAUUAGCAGCGAUUUAGCUACUGCUUCAGGGUCGUUUCUGGGUUUGUUUCGCAGCAAGUUUGUUGCGUUACAACUCUAAGUUCACGGCAGCCUUAUCUCUAGAGGAAGCACUGAAGAAGCGUUUUUGGUCUUCUUGGUUGUAGCCUCUAAUUUUUAGGUCUUAGAAUCUAUAUUUGGUCUCAUGUGUAUCUUGUGUAUUUCAACUCAUUUUAGGCGUCUGCUGAAGAAGACGAUGGACUUUAAAGGGAGGGUUCCUUUUUUUGUUAUGGGAAACGGCGGAUUAGUUUUUUUUAGGG
rnacentral:lncRNA from 1 species